CUUCAAUAUGUGCUGAAAAUUCAGGGGAUUUUACAGUACUCUGAUAAAUUGUGUUCCAAAAAAAGGGUCAGCAUGACAGAGACGGGAUAUAUUUUUCAGAAGAAAUGUAAUCUGUAUUUCUGAAACAGUGACUGACAGAAAAGGCUAAAACAAACCAGCCUCAUUACAGGCAGUUGAGUAAAUAAGAUGCAUCCCUGAAAUUACUUUAUGUACUGCGUUGCAGAUUUGCUUGAUGGUUCUAAUGGCUUUGCUAAGAAGAAAUUAUUGCCUAUCAGGAAAGUGAUCAUCAUCAUUUCCACCUCAUCUCUAAAAAGGAGUCGACAGUCUUCCUGGCUAAACUUAUGGAAUAAGAAGGUGCCACAGACCUGGCUGAUAGGUGGCUGUUGGAGCUCUGCUGGUGCCAGUGUGAGAGGAAUGGGCAUUGGCCAUAUCUUGCUGAGGAGCUCUUGGAGGAGGGAGCUGAGGGGUGGCCAUGCCCUGUGUUGCGAUGGAGCCCAUGUGGGGAUGAGGACCAACAUGUCUUGAUGGUUCAAGUCCAGCAUGAAAGGUAUUUCCACCAGAACUGCUCCCUGCAAAGGUUGACGUUUUGUUCCUGAGCUCUGAACAGCCCAGAGUUGACAUGCUGAGACCCUUCUGAAAGCUACCGUGUGGCUGUUCCUCUUGAAGGUGCAGGAGUCCCAGCAUUUAAAAGACAGAGAGGCAGGAAGCAGCCCUUGCUGACCUUCUGCUCUGGCCUGUUUCUAUCUGGUCCUCUGCCAUCUCCUGGAUAGGAUUAGAUAUGGAUGCAGUUGGAAAAAAUUAUUUCAGCAUAAUGGGACAUCUGGACCUUCCCAUUGACCAUCAGUGUUCUGGCUGCUAUGCACUAAAAUUAAGCUGAACUGCAGUAUUUGAUAGAAACAGCCUGCUACUUCUAGAGGUCAGAUGAGAUACAGAGGAAUGUGCUCACCUUUGGGCACUGCAGAUUUACUUUGCCAUUCUUGGAGCUGUUCCUCCUGGUGGAACAGCAGGAAAAGAAAAAGGAAC
ensembl:lncRNA